rnacentral:rRNA from 1 species
GAUGAACGCUGGCGGCGUGCCUAAUACAUGCAAGUCGAGCGAAUGGAUUAAGAGCUUGCUCUUAUGAAGUUAGCGGCGGACGGGUGAGUAACACGUGGGUAACCUGCCCAUAAGACUGGGAUAACUCCGGGAAACCGGGGCUAAUACCGGAUAACAUUUUGAACCGCAUGGAUCGAAAUUGAAAGGCGGCUUCGGCUGUCACUUAUGGAUGGCCCCGCGUCGCAUUAGCUAGGUGGUGAGGUAACGGCUCACCAAGGCAACGAUGCGUAGCCGACCUGAGAGGGUGAUCGGCCACACUGGGACUGAGACACGGCCCAGACUCCUACGGGAGGCAGCAGUAGGGAAUCUUCCGCAAUGAACGAAAGUCUGACGGAGCAACGCCGCGUGAGUGAUGAAGGCUUUCGGGUCGUAAAACUCUGUCGUUAGGGAAGAACAAGUGCUAGUUGAAUAAGCUGGCACCUUGACGGUACCUAACCAGAAAGCCACGGCUAACUACGUGCCAGCAGCCGCGGUAA